AUUGAACGCUGGCGGCAUGCCUUACACAUGCAAGUCGAACGGUAACGGGCCUUCGGGUGCCGACGAGUGGCGAACGGGUGAGUAAUGCAUCGGAACGUACCUUUCAGUGGGGGAUAACGUAGCGAAAGUUACGCUAAUACCGCAUAUUCUGUGAGCAGGAAAGCAGGGGGAUCGCAAGACCUUGCGCUGAUUGAGCGGCCGAUGUCAGAUUAGCUAGUUGGUGAGGUAAAGGCUCACCAAGGCGACGAUCUGUAGCGGGUCUGAGAGGAUGAUCCGCCACACUGGAACUGAGACACGGUCCAGACUCCUACGGGAGGCAGCAGUGGGGAAUUUUGGACAAUGGGGGCAACCCUGAUCCAGCCAUGCCGCGUGAGUGAAGAAGGCCUUCGGGUUGUAAAGCUCUUUCGGCCGGGAAGAAAUCGUAUGGGCUAAUACCCUGUGCGGAUGACGGUACCGGCAUAAGAAGCACCGGCUAACUACGUG
rnacentral:rRNA from 1 species